rnacentral:rRNA from 1 species
UACAGAGGGUGCAAGCGUUAAUCGGAAUUACUGGGCGUAAAGCGUGCGUAGACGGUAGCGUAAGUCGGGUGUGAAAGCCCCGGGCUCAACCUGGGAAUUGCAUUCGAGACUGCUCUGCUAGGGUGCGGAAGAGGGAAGCGGAAUUUCCGGUGUAGCGGUGAAAUGCGUAGAUAUCGGAAGGAACACCAGUGGCGAAAGCGGCUUCCUGGACCAAUACUGACGCUCAUGUGCGAAAGCGUGGGGAGCAAACAGG